UUUCUACCCUAUCUAGCCUGUGGAAGCUAGAGCAAACUACACCCUCUUUGUCAAGAUGUGCUUUUCUGUAGAUGUAGGCCAGUUCUGUAUAUCAUAGUAAUACGUUUUUUGCAAGUGUUUUGAUCAGUUUGAAUGGCGAAAUUCCACGAGUUCGUCGCUGGAUGAAGGGUCUUUGAGAGAAUAUGAAUGACGAGUAAAUCUUUCUAUUUUGAGGUAGUAGCACUUGUUGUGCUCUCCCUUAUUCCAUGGCCUGGACCAACUGUUUUCAAGAUCUCCUGUCCCAGGGACAGUGCAACAGUCGUACGAAGGCUCAUCCAGAAGAAAUGGAUUCCAGUGCUGGAGAAGUACCAAGUGCAAAUCCCGCUGGACUGUCCGUUCCACCCGAUCCGCGACAUCUUCCGGCCGCAGCAGACAGCCAAACUGCAGCACCGGCCGUCGCAGUGGACGUGUGGCUUCUGCGGCAAGUCCUUCUACGGCGAGAACUUUCUUGACCUGCACUUCGACAAUCGACAUAAAAGCAAAAUUAACAUGGCAGAAGACGCAGUGUGCCUGGCAGACUACUGCGACAUAAUGCGAUGCGAAGUGCUGAAGACACAGGACAUGGGCAGCGGCGGAGGCGGUGGAGGGGCGGACACGGCGGUGCAGCUAAACACGGACAUCGAGAUCUGGCGUGAAGCGACCGCCUACCACACAGCACUGACGCCGGCCGGCCCACGGGACCUGGCCCGCGUCGCGACGGCACGCGGAGGCGGCGCCUCCUAUUCGCCACCCCCCCAGGCAGCGCCACCUCCGCCUGCCGCCUCCCACCACCGCUGCCCCCGCUCCGACUCGCCGCCCGAGAACACAUCGGCUGACGUCUGCGACAACAACCUCGUCGAUUCGGCGUCGCCGCCCAAGCACCAUCGCCUCAGCGAAUUGCAGAAACUCAAGGCCAACUGCAAGCCCGAAGAGCUUCACAAGCUGAAAACUAGAUGCGAGAUACUUGUUCGCGACUGUAUAGCAGGCUUGCUCGUCAAUUUGUCGGUGCAAGACUUUAAAGACGUGGAAGAAGAGUUGAACCACGAAGUGUGCUGGUACCUGACAUGUGACAGAUACUGGGAGGACUCGCCCCUGGACCCUCGCCACUUUCCUUGGGGUCUGGUCUUCGUGUUUGUCAUGGUACUCUCACUGGGGAUCUGCCUCUGCUACUACAUCAUAUGGGUGCUAUUCGAUUUGUUGCAGUUCUGAUGACAUGAGCGUGGCUAGCACCAACGUCACAGCCAGCUCGUCGCCAGCGCACCACGCGCAUGCGCACUAUCCCGAAGAUUACUAUGCGAUGGCGCCCGACGAGUUGGCCGCUGCGCAGGCGCACAACGAGCACUACAUCUACGUCACAUACCCGCCCGACCUCAAGAGGAGAUUGCUUGAAAGCUGCUACAAUCGAACAACCCGUCUGUGACCAGAAAAUAUGCUCAGCAGAAUUUUUGCAGAAUUGAUCUGCGAAGAAGAUCCAAAUAAUCUGAAUGGACAGUUUACUUCACCAAUUUUCAAAUUCCACCAAUUAGAAUAUUACAUUUGCAUUAGUUUUUUUCGAUAGCAAACAUCUUAGCUGAAUAAUGAAUACUUCAUCUUCGUCUUUUAUAUCUUGAGAGUACCAACAUUUUCUAUGUGAAUUUUGUCUCAUACUGUUGAGAUUAAAUAUUUAUAAAUUAUCGAUACAAAAACUAACUUCCAAGACAUUUAUGUACAGCAAGCUUUUAAAAACUACUGUAGGCCUACAUUAACGAGACAAAUCCUGAGAUUUCAGGGUUUAAUUAUACAUGAAAAAUUAUUAUGCAUCAAA